ACUCUCCAGUUUCCUUACCCAUCAGAUCUAAAUGUUGGGUCUGAGAGGUUAUAAAAGGAAGAAAGGGGCGCUGAAACAUCU
rnacentral:snoRNA from 1 species